rnacentral:lncRNA from 1 species
AAGGAAGACAGUCCAGUAGCAGAGUAUCUCUGUGAUAAUCUUGUGAGGUGCUUCAGCCCUAUUUUGCACAGAAGACAAAAUCGAAGCUCAGAGAGGUUAUGGAACUACCCUUAGGGCACACCGUUAGCAAGUGGCGGGGUCAAAGAUCCCACCUAGACCACUUGGGCUCUAAAACCUGGGCCCAUUCUAUUAUUCUUUGCUGCCCAGGAAAAUUCUGGUUUAGCUCAGGAGGAAACAUCCACUGUCAACUCUGUUAUUCUACAUUGUCAGAUUCCCAUCUUUCCCCACCUCUCCCCACCUCCAAAACUUGGCUUGUGAAAUUUCCACUAGAAAAUAAAGCUGAAAGGAAACAGCUGUACUUCUCUGUGUCCACGCCAGGAACUCCAGCUCCCAGGCCCUCAAGCUUCCUCCCACAGAAUUGAGUGCAUGCGGUGUGGGCCAGGCCAUAGUGGCCUGAGCAUGUUGGGAACCGUUGCCGGUUCCUGUCCUUGGAUGUCUCAUUUGGUAAUUCUGACAGACUGAAAACCACACUCCCUGGUGACCAGCCUCAUAAAUCUGACCUGUGUGUUUAAUUGAGUUUGGUGAAACUUAGGGAUAUUGGCUCUCAUGAAGAACCUCCCACCCUACAAGGGAUUCCAGGUGUUGGCCCUGCCCUUUAGUCCUCCUCAGAUCUCUCCACACAGAGGGAGUCAAGCCUUCCUUAUCUUCCCCUUUUGGCCUUGGCUAUUUCUCAUACUUUCUGACACUCCCAUCAUAUUGGGUCACUGUGUUUCCCCCUCAUCAUCGCCUUACAGCAGUAAAAUGCCAAGAAACUUUCAAUUCUGUGUGGGGUGGGGAGAGAAUUAGUGAGUUGGGGGUAGGGUUUGGGAAGGCUUGAGGAAGGAGAGCUGGGAGGGAAGAGAGACAGCUCUGUUUCUUCUAACCUUUAACUUCAAUCAUGUCUUCAUUUACUUGAUAAUGCACAUAUAUUGGCUGGAUGAGGUGAUAUAGGAGGAGAAGGCCUGCUGAAGACAGAGACAGAGAUUGGAGUUAUGCAGCCUCAAGACAAGGAAGGCCUAGAACCACCAGGAGCUGGAAGAGGUUCCAGUGACUCUGCUGUCCACUACACCCCACCACUGCAGCCCAUCACUCAAGAGUGCCACAGCCUGUGGCAGGGACUGUCUUUCGGGGAUGAAGUUUCCACUGCUUGAAAGCAGAUUUGGAAGCAGAUGGAGAGCCAAGGAGCUUUGUUCUGCCCCAUUUUCAGCUUGGAGCUGGGCCCCGCCUGCCCUCCCAGGACAGAUGGUGUACCGCAAGGAUGAAGGUGGGGUGGGGACCGGACUCUGGAGACAACUUAGACUUUCCUUGUCAACACCUGGCCUUUAGGGCAUGGCGGUGGAAGACUCAUUUAUUCACUCAUUCAUUCAUUCAUCCGAAACUUUUUUUGUUGUGGUAAAUUACACAUAACAUAAAAUUCACCGUCUUAACCAUUUUAAAGUGUGCAAUUCAGUGGCAUUUAGUACAUUUACAAUGUCGUGCAGCCAUCACCACUGUCUAGUUCCAGAAUAUCUUCCUCCCCAGAGGAAACCCUGUAUCUGUGAAGUAGUCACUCCCCAUUCCCCUCUCCUCCCAGGGCCUGGCAACCACUACUUUACUUUUUGUCCCUAUGGACUUGCCUGUCCUGGAUAUUUUAUAUAAGUGGAAUCAUACAACAUGUGGCCUUCUGCAUCUGGCUUCUUUUACAGCAUAAUUCUUGUCAUAGCAUGUAUCAGUACUUCAUUCCUUUUCAUGACUAAAUAAUACUUCAUUGUAUGGAAGUACCAGAUUUUGUUUGUCCAUUCACUGUUUGAUGGACAUUUUGGGUUGUUUCCACCUUUUGGCUGUUAUGAAUAAUGCCGCUAUGAGCUUUCAUGUGCAAGUUUUUGUUUGAACACUUGUUUUCCUUUCUCUUGGGUCUAUAUUUAGGGGUGGCAUUGAUGGCUUUUGUGUGAACUAUACAUUUAACAUAUGAGGAACCGCCACACUGUUUUCCAAAGUGGCUGCAUCAUUUUACAUUCCCACCAGCAAUGAGGGCUCUAAUUUUUCUACAUCCUCGCCAACACUUGUUAUUUUUUCUUUUCUUUCUUUUUUUUGUUAUGUCGCCCAGGCUGGAGUGCAGUGACUACUCACAGGUGAGAUUAUGGCAUACUGAAGUCUUGAACUCCUGGGUUCAAGCAAUCCUCCUGCCUCAGCCUCCCAAGUAGCUGGGACUGCAGGCCUGCAGCACCACACCUGGCUACUUGGUGUCUUUUUGAUGAUAGCCAUCCUAGUAAUGUGAAGUGUUAUCAUUGUAGUUGUUUGAUACAUACUUUUGACCUUUACUGUGUUCCAGGCACCACGGUAGUCACUAGGAAGAUGGCAGAGAACAAAAUAGACAAAGCCCUUCCCUUCUGGAAGUUCUAUUCUAGUGAGAAAUGCUCUAGUAGAGUGGAGUUAAGAGGCCAGGCAGCAGGGACAUGAAUACAACUCGCUGCAGCUGGGAAAGCCGAAAGGCGUAUGCUUUAGGCUCUGCUAUUUCUCUUCAUCCUGGAAGAAUGGAGCAGAGUUUACAAACUCAAAGUCGAUGUACAGGACACGGCCAGAGUGAUGAGUGUGCACGCAGCAUGUGUGCAUGGUUGGAUUGGAGGGCGCCAGCCUUGCCUCAAGGGCAGAUGCUCCAUAGUACCGGCUUCUUACUACUGACUG